rnacentral:rRNA from 1 species
UUUAUGGAGAGUUUGAUCCUGGCUCAGGAUGAACGCUGGCGGCGUGCCUAAUACAUGCAAGUCGAGCGAACAGACGAGGAGCUUGCUCCUCUGACGUUAGCGGCGGACGGGUGAGUAACACGUGGAUAACCUACCUAUAAGACUGGGAUAACUUCGGGAAACCGGAGCUAAUACCGGAUAAUAUAUUGAACCGCAUGGUUCAAUAGUGAAAGACGGUUUUGCUGUCACUUAUAGAUGGAUCCGCGCCGCAUUAGCUAGUUGGUAAGGUAACGGCUUACCAAGGCAACGAUGCGUAGCCGACCUGAGAGGGUGAUCGGCCACACUGGAACUGAGACACGGUCCAGACUCCUACGGGAGGCAGCAGUAGGGAAUCUUCCGCAAUGGGCGAAAGCCUGACGGAGCAACGCCGCGUGAGUGAUGAAGGUCUUCGGAUCGUAAAACUCUGUUAUUAGGGAAGAACAAAUGUGUAAGUAACUAUGCACGUCUUGACGGUACCUAAUCAGAAAGCCACGGCUAACUACGUGCCAGCAGCCGCGGUAAUACGUAGGUGGCAAGCGUUAUCCGGAAUUAUUGGGCGUAAAGCGCGCGUAGGCGGUUUUUUAAGUCUGAUGUGAAAGCCCACGGCUCAACCGUGGAGGGUCAUUGGAAACUGGAAAACUUGAGUGCAGAAGAGGAAAGUGGAAUUCCAUGUGUAGCGGUGAAAUGCGCAGAGAUAUGGAGGAACACCAGUGGCGAAGGCGACUUUCUGGUCUGUAACUGACGCUGAUGUGCGAAAGCGUGGGGAUCAAACAGGAUUAGAUACCCUGGUAGUCCACGCCGUAAACGAUGAGUGCUAAGUGUUAGGGGGUUUCCGCCCCUUAGUGCUGCAGCUAACGCAUUAAGCACUCCGCCUGGGGAGUACGACCGCAAGGUUGAAACUCAAAGGAAUUGACGGGGACCCGCACAAGCGGUGGAGCAUGUGGUUUAAUUCGAAGCAACGCGAAGAACCUUACCAAAUCUUGACAUCCUCUGACCCCUCUAGAGAUAGAGUUUUCCCCUUCGGGGGACAGAGUGACAGGUGGUGCAUGGUUGUCGUCAGCUCGUGUCGUGAGAUGUUGGGUUAAGUCCCGCAACGAGCGCAACCCUUAAGCUUAGUUGCCAUCAUUAAGUUGGGCACUCUAAGUUGACUGCCGGUGACAAACCGGAGGAAGGUGGGGAUGACGUCAAAUCAUCAUGCCCCUUAUGAUUUGGGCUACAC